rnacentral:lncRNA from 1 species
UAAAGGUCAAAAUCAUUUAGUAGAAAUCCUUCACAUUAAUCUGAGAGGAGUCCAAAGAAUGGAGGAUGUGUCCUAGGUCCUAUGGGAGAAGACUACUAAAGCAAUUGGCAUCAUGACUGGCACUGUGACCUGAACAGCCUAACCCUAUUUCUGGGGUUGAAAACCAAAAUUGUAGCUUUCCAGCUGCACGUGGAAGUCCUGACUCCAGCCAGCUUUCUAACAGUA